GACGAACGCUGGCGGCGUGCUUAACACAUGCAAGUCGAGCGGGGUCCAACUUGUCGCAAGACAAGGGAAGACCUAGCGGCGAACGGGUGAGUAACACGUGAGCAACCUGCCCCGAAGACCGGGAUAACACCGGGAAACCGGUGCUAAUACCGGAUACCCUCGAGAGGUCACAUGGCCUUUCAAGGAAAUGGAUUCCGCUUCGGGAGGGGCUCGCGGCCUAUCAGCUUGUUGGUGGGGUAACGGCCCACCAAGGCUCCGACGGGUAGCCGGCCUGAGAGGGCGACCGGCCACACUGGGACUGAGACACGGCCCAGACUCCUACGGGAGGCAGCAGUGGGGAAUCUUGCGCAAUGGGCGAAAGCCUGACGCAGCGACGCCGCGUGAGGGAUGACGGCCU
rnacentral:rRNA from 1 species